UGGGGAAUAUUGGACAAUGGGGGCAACCCUGAUCCAGCAAUGCCGCGUGAGUGAUGAAGGCCUUAGGGUUGUAAAGCUCUUUCGACGGGGACGAUGAUGACGGUACCCGUAGAAGAAGCCCCGGCUAACUUCGUGCCAGCAGCCGCGGUAAUACGAAGGGGGCUAGCGUUGUUCGGAAUUACUGGGCGUAAAGGGCGCGUAGGCGGUCUUGUAAGUCAGAUGUGAAAGCCCCGGGCUCAACCCGGGAAUAGCAUUUGAUACUGCGAGGCUUGAGUCCGGGAGAGGAUGGCGGAAUUCCCAGUGUAGCGGUGAAAUGCGUAGAUAUCAAGAGGAACACCUGAGGUGAAGACGGGUUGCUGGGCUGACACUGACGCUGAGGCGCGAAAGCCAGGGGAGCAAACGGGAUUAGAUACCCCUGUAGUCCCUGAGCGGGCUGGCAAGGCGCAU
rnacentral:rRNA from 1 species